CAAUAGCGUAUAUUUAAGUUGCUGCAGUUAAAAAGCUCGUAGUUGGAUUUCGGGUGGGAAUGGCCGGUCCGCCGUUUCGGUGUGCACUUGCUACGCCCACCUUGCUGCCGGGGACGUGCUCUUGAGUUCACGCUCGGGACACGGAGUCGGCGAGGUUACUUUGAGUAAAUUAGAGUGUUCAAAGCAGGCCUACGCUCUGAAUACAUUAGCAUGGAAUAACACGAUAGGACUCUGGCCUAUCUUGUUGGUCUGUAGGACCGGAGUAAUGAUUAAGAGGGACAGUCGGGGGCAUUCGUAUUUCAUUGUCAGAGGUGAAAUUCUUGGAUUUAUGAAAGACGAACUACUGCGAAGGCAUUUGCCAAGGAUGUUUUCAUUAA
rnacentral:rRNA from 1 species